rnacentral:rRNA from 1 species
CCCUUAGAUGUUCUGAGCCGCACGCGCGCUACACUGACGAUGGCAACGAGUUUUUCCUUCGCCGAAAGGUGUGGGUAAUCUUUUGAAACAUCGUCGUGCUGGGGAUAGAUCAUUGCAAUUUUUGAUCUUGAACGAGGAAUUCCUAGUAAGCGCGAGUCAUCAGCUCGCGUUGAUUACGUCCCUGCCCUUUGUACACACCGCCCGUCGCUACUACCGAUUGAAUGGUUUAGUGAGGACUCCUGAUUGGCGCCGCCGCCCCGGCAACGGAGCAGCGGACUGCCGAAAAGUUGUUCAAACUUGAUCAUUUAGAGGAAGUAAAAGUCGUAACA